UAAAAAUCCUUAAAAAUGAGCCAAGCUUCAAAUGUUUUGAACAGAAGCAGUGAACUACUAUUUAGUAUAGAUGGGUACUUGCUGUGAGUCUGUGAGUAUUUUGGUUUCGAAGGUUUCUUUUGGUAUAUUUUGUCUCAGAUUUCUCUUGCGUGUUUUUAAAUCAAAAAUCAGUUUACAACGAAAAUGGGGGACUUGGCUGCUGAGAAGCAUGUGCGAUAUAUUAUAUCAGUUGAAAAGUGCAAUAAUUUGCUACGUGUGCCCUUAGAAGAAGGAUGCAUUUGAAUCGGUAGUCAUGGAGCACCUUAGAAUGAAUGGUGCUUACUGGGGGCUGACAACACUGGAUCUUCUCGGAAAGCUUCAAGUUGUGGAUCAAGAUGAAGUUAUUCCAUGGGUUAUGCAGUGUCAACUUGAAUCUGGCAAUCAUAUCUUCGUUGGAAAUUUUUGGUACUCAAUGACAAAGUUGGUGAUAGCUACAAGCAUUUUGGAUGCGCGAUGUUUUGGGUUAUGAAGUAGCUAUAUGUGCACUUGUAAAUUUUUGGACUUUUUCAAAGUGCCUAUCACUUGUAAAUUUUUGCAUGAAAACUUGUAUAUGGUAGGAGAAUUAUUUUGGAAAAUUGGUUAUCCGAUCCGUUACAUGUAUAUGAAUUACGUAUAUUUUUGACACACGAUAAUAUUUGGGACGUGUGAUAUUUUGGGAUACGAAUUAAUAUAUAAUGAUAAUCGGUGAUAUUAGUUUAGUUGGUUAUAAAUUAUUUAUUAUUUUAAUUGUCUAGUUUACAUAUAGAUUGUAGGUUGUUUCAAAAGAUAACAAAGUCGUUGCGAAAAAUGUGUAUAUUUUUUGCAACGGU